GGGCGUGUACGUCAGUGGUUAGACAGCUGGUCUUCGGCGCCUUUCUCGAUCGUUUCUCGAUGGAAAUCAGCUGUUUUAAGUUACCAGAAGCCGUCGGUUCGAAUCCGGCCUCGCCCU